AGCCAUCGUCCGCACAUGCCUUC
rnacentral:piRNA from 1 species